GUCCACGCCCUAACGAUGUCAACUGGUUGUUGGACGGCUUGCUGUUCAGUAACGAAGCUAACGCGUGAAGUUGACCGCCUGGGAGUACGGCCGCAAGGUUGAACUCAAAGGAAUUGACGGGACCCGCACAAGCGGUGGAUGAUGUGGUUUAAUUCGAUGCAACGCGAAACCUUACCUACCCUUGACAUGUCAAGAAUUUUGCAGAGAUGUGAAAGUGCUCGAAAGAGAGCUUGAACACAGGUGCUGCAUGGCCGUCGU
rnacentral:rRNA from 1 species